rnacentral:rRNA from 1 species
GUGUCAGCAGCCGCGGUAAGACGAACCGUACGAACGUUAUUCGGAAUUACUGGGCUUAAAGGGUUUGUAGGCGGCCUUGUAAGUCAGGUGUGAAAUCCCUCGGCUCAACCGAGGAAUGGCGCUUGAUACUGCAAGGCUUGAGGGAGACAGGGGUAAGCGGAACUGAUGGUGGAGCGGUGAAAUGCGUUGAUAUCAUCAGGAACACCGGUGGCGAAAGCGGCUUACUGGGUCUCUUCUGACGCUGAGGAACGAAAGCUAGGGUAGCGAACGGGAUUAGAAACCCUCGUAGUCC